rnacentral:lncRNA from 1 species
CAGUUAUCUAUCACUUCCAAAGUUCAGGAGCUUCAGAACUUAUUAAAAGGAAAAGAGGAACAGAUGAAUACCAUGAAGGCUGUUUUGGAAGAGAAAGAGAAAGACCUAGCCAAUACAGGGAAGUGGUUACAGGAUCUUCAAGAAGAAAAUGAAUCUUUAAAAGCACAUGUUCAGGAAGUAGCACAACAUAACUUGAAAGAGGCCUCUUCUGCAUCACAGUUUGAAGAACUUGAGAUUGUGUUGAAAGAAAAGGAAAAUGAAUUGAAGAGGUUAGAAGCCAUGCUAAAAGAGAGGGAGAGUGAUCUUUCUAGCAAAACACAGCUGUUACAGGUGAAUAUGGUGACUUAAAAUUAAUUAUUUUGUAAAUUAUUGUCUUUGCAUGCUUUAAAAUAAUUUUUAACUGCUGCCAAAAAAUAGAGUACAGAAUGAGUCUCCCUCCCACCCAGAUACUAGGUGUCAUUAUUGGCAUGUUUUUUGAGUAAGUACCCAUGCAUAAAAUGUGUGUAUGUAUGUAUACUUGUUUAUUAAAUACUCUGUUGAACUAU